AGUGAACGCUGGCGGUAGGCCUAACACAUGCAAGUCGAACGGCAGCACAGUAAGAGCUUGCUCUUACGGGUGGCGAGUGGCGGACGGGUGAGGAAUACAUCGGAAUCUACUUUUUCGUGGGGGGUAAAGUAGGGAAACAUACGCUAAUACAGCAUACGACCUAAGGGUGAAAGCAGGGGAUCUUCGGACCUUGCGCGAGUGAAUGAGCCGAUGUCGGAUUAGCUAGUUGGCGGGGUAAAGGCCCACCAAGGCGACGAUCCGUAGCUGGUCUGAGAGGAUGAUCAGCCACACUGGAACUGAGACACGGUCCAGACUCCUACGGGAGGCAGCAGUGGGGAAUAUUGGACAAUGGGCGCAAGCCUGAUCCAGCCAUACCGCGUGUGUGAAGAAGGCCUUCGGGUUGUAAAGCCCUUUUGUUGGGAAAGAAAAGCAGCAGGUUAAUACCCCGCUGUUCUGACGGUACCCAAAGAAUAAGCACCGGCUAACUUCGUG
rnacentral:rRNA from 1 species